rnacentral:lncRNA from 1 species
UUUGUUUGUUUAAAUAACAAGUCUAUUCUAUUUAUAAGGCAGUGGAUAUUAUUUACAAACGGUAUUGUUUUUAUGCUUGAUUUAACAUUUUAUCGUUAUUUAUCAAUUUGAUGUGUGUUGGAUUAAAUUCUAUUCAAUAUAAGUGUUUUUUUAUGUUUUACUUUUAAUUUUGUCUUUUAUUUCGGAUAUAUCCCAAGAGCCAACAGUCCCGAUCAGUACAUAAACAUGUUACCUGUGUGAAAACAUACAUCAACUAGUACAAAAUUUAAUUUUCAUACGCGAACUUUCAAAAUUUAGUUUUAUCAUACAUUGACUUAAUUUUCGUUAGUCAAACGUUGAGUUGCCGUUAACCAGUAACAGAAAAUCGGCUAAUUCCUAC